rnacentral:rRNA from 1 species
GGCUCAGAACGACCGCGGGCGGCGUGGAUUAGGCAUGCAAGUCGAACGCGAAAGGGGAGCAAUCCCCGAGUAGAGUGGCGAACGGGUGAGUAACGCGUGAAGAACCUGCCUUCGACAGGGGGAUAACACUCCCAACGGGGUGCUAAUACCGCAUGAGACCACGGGGUCGCAUGGCCCUGAGGUCAAAGGUGGCCUCUAUUUAUAAGCUACCGGUUGAAGAUGGCUUCGCGUCCCAUUAGCUAGUUGGCGGUGUAACGGACCACCAAGGCGACGAUGGGUAGCUGGUCUGAGAGGAUGGUCAGCCACACUGGGACUGAGAUACGGCCCAGACUCCUACGGGAGGCAGCAGUCGAGAGGCUUCGGCAAUGGGGGAAACCCUGACCGAGCGACGCCGCGUGAGGGAUGAGGGCCCUUGGGUUGUAAACCUCUUUUGUUGGGGAAGAAAUGCGAUCAGGUGAACAAUCUGGUCGUUUGACGGUACCCGACGAAUAAGCUCCGGCUAACUCCGUGCCAGCAGCCGCGGUAACACGGGGGGAGCAAGCGUUGUUCGGAAUCACUGGGCGUAAAGGGCGUGUAGGCGGUCUGGUAAGUGAGAUGUGAAAUGCUCCGGCUCACCCGGGGACCUGCAUCUCAAACUGCCGGACUAGAGUAUGGGAGAGGAUGAGGGAAUUCCUGGUGUAGCGGUGAAAUGCGUAGAUAUCAGGAGGAACACCGGUGGCGAAAGCGCUCAUCUGGCCCAAUACUGACACUGAGGCGCGAAAGCUAGGGGAGCAAACGGGAUUAGAUACCCCGGUAGUCCUAGCCGUAAACGGUGAUCACUAGGUGUUGGAGGCAUCGACCCCUCCAGUGCCGCAGCUAACGCAUUAAGUGAUCCGCCUGGGGAGUACGGCCGCAAGUUGAAACUCAAAU